rnacentral:rRNA from 1 species
UCCGUAGGUGAACCUGCGGAAGGAUCAUUACAGUAUUCUUUUUGCCAGCGCUUAAUUGCGCGGCGAAAAAACCUUACACACAGUGUUUUUUGUUAUUACAAGAACUUUUGCUUUGGUCUGGACUAGAAAUAGUUUGGGCCAGAGGUUUACUGAACUAAACUUCAAUAUUUAUAUUGAAUUGUUAUUUAUUUAAUUGUCAAUUUGUUGAUUAAAUUCAAAAAAUCUUCAAAACUUUCAACAACGGAUCUCUUGGUUCUCGCAUCGAUGAAGAACGCAGCGAAAUGCGAUAAGUAAUAUGAAUUGCAGAUUUUCGUGAAUCAUCGAAUCUUUGAACGCACAUUGCGCCCUCUGGUAUUCCAGAGGGCAUGCCUGUUUGAGCGUCAUUUCUCUCUCAAACCUUCGGGUUUGGUAUUGAGUGAUACUCUUAGUCGAACUAGGCGUUUGCUUGAAAUGUAUUGGCAUGAGUGGUACUGGAUAGUGCUAUAUGACUUUCAAUGUAUUAGGUUUAUCCAACUCGUUGAAUAGUUUAAUGGUAUAUUUCUCGGUAUUCUAGGCUCGGCCUUACAAUAUAACAAACAAGUUUGACCUCAAAUCAGGUAGGAUUACCCGCUGAACUUAAGCAUAUCAAUAAGCGGAGGAAAAGAAACCAACAGGGAUUGCCUUAGUAACGGCGAGUGAAGCGGCAAAAGCUCAAAUUUGAAAUCUGGCACCUUCGGUGUCCGAGUUGUAAUUUGAAGAAGGUAACUUUGGAGUUGGCUCUUGUCUAUGUUCCUUGGAACAGGACGUCACAGAGGGUGAGAAUCCCGUGCGAUGAGAUGCCCAAUUCUAUGUAAAGUGCUUUCGAAGAGUCGAGUUGUUUGGGAAUGCAGCUCUAAGUGGGUGGUAAAUUCCAUCUAAAGCUAAAUAUUGGCGAGAGACCGAUAGCGAACAAGUACAGUGAUGGAAAGAUGAAAAGAACUUUGAAAAGAGAGUGAAAAAGUACGUGAAAUUGUUGAAAGGGAAGGGCUUGAGAUCAGACUUGGUAUUUUGCGAUCCUUUCCUUCUUGGUUGGGUUCCUCGCAGCUUACUGGGCCAGCAUCGGUUUGGAUGGUAGGAUAAUGACUAAGGAAUGUGGCUCUACUUCGGUGGAGUGUUAUAGCCUUGGUUGAUACUGCCUGUCUAGACCGAGGACUGCGUCUUUGACUAGGAUGCUGGCAUAAUGAUCUUAAGCCACCCGUCUUGAAACACGGACCAAGGAGUCUAACGUCUAUGCGAGUGUUUGGGUGUAAAACCCGUACGCGUAAUGAAAGUGAACGUAGGUGAGAGCUCUUAAGAGUGCAUCAUCGACCGAUCCUGAUGUCUUCGGAUGGAUUUGAGUAAGAGCAUAGCUGUUGGGACCCGAAAGAUGGUGAACUAUGCCUGAAUAGGGUGAAGCCAGAGGAAACUCUGGUGGAGGCUCGUAGCGGUUCUGACGUGCAAAUCGAUCGUCGAAUUUGGGUAUAGGGGCGAAAGACUAAUCGAACCAUCUAGUAGCUGGUUCCUGCCGAAGUUUCCCUCAGGAUAGCAGAAGCUCGUAUCAGUUUUAUGAGGUAAAGCGAAUGAUUAGAGGUAUUGGGGUUGAAAUGACCUUAACCUAUUCUCAAACUUUAAAUAUGUAAGAAGUCCUUGUUGCUUAAUUGAACGUGGACAUUUGAAUGAAGAGCUUUUAGUGGGCCAUUUUUGGUAAGCAGAACUGGCGAUGCGGGAUGAACCGAACGUGAAGUUAAAGUGCCGGAAUACACGCUCAUCAGACACCACAAAAGGUGUUAGUUCAUCUAGACAGCCGGACGGUGGCCAUGGAAGUCGGAAUCCGCUAAGGAGUGUGUAACAACUCACC